UUCUAAAUUUCCAAUGAACACAAUCAUGCCAUCUUUUAUUAAUUGUAAACUUCAACAAGAAAUUUGAAGACUAAAAUCUAUGGAUAGCAGAUCAGGAUGAAGUUUGCUGGGUUUCAUCUGAUAUAAAUUGCGAUGAAGAGAUCUCGAGAGAAUUCAAUUCUGCUCCGUAUUAGUUAAUACUGCUUCUUCUUUCUGAUGGUGGCAUGGUGCUUUUGCUUAUUAAGACUCUGCUUGUUAAUAAAUGGUGCAGGCUGUAUUAUGGUACUGGUACUUUGAAGGCAAAUUCUUCACUUGAAGAACAUUCAUGUUCGGUUCAGUCCUAGCAUGCCACGUCUUGCAACAUCUUCAUUCGACAAAACUGUCAAGAGUCUGGGAUGCUGAUAAUUCCUUUGCCUUUGUGGAUCUUGAACGAUUCCAAAUGACCCCUGAAACCAGCAAGAAAUUCUGAUCAUGGUGCAAAAGAUAAGCCCUAAGCUAAAGAACAGCGGAAGAAGAAGAGGAACAGAGGAAAGAGAGACAACUGAUAUUGAUUUUCUGUUGUAAUUUUACGAUUUGCUGCAACUGAUUAAAUAUUGCUUCUCCACGAAUCGAAUGGGGAACAAAAUUCCAAGCCCA